rnacentral:tmRNA from 1 species
GGGGGUGCACUGGCUUCGACGGGGGUUGCGAAAUUGCCUGGUGCAUGCCGAGGGGGCAGCUUUCCUCGUUAAUCCAGCGGCAAACAAUCAGACGCCAACGACGACGUCUACGCUCUGGCCGCUUAAGGCCUAGCCCCGAACCCACUUGUGCCUGUGCUCGUGGAUGUAGGGUCAUCAUCACAGGAUGGAUGCUGGCGGCGACCCGUCAACCGGCAUCGAGACCAAAGCGGGUAUGGAUGACGGUGUGCCUCGCACGUUGUGUUGCCGCCAUCCGAGAUCGAACAACGGGCUAAGCAUGUAGGACCGGGGAUGGAGUGCCUUCGGACGGCGGUUCGAUUCCGCCCACCUCCACCA